CCUACGGGGGGCAGCAGUGGGGAAUCUUCCGCAAUGGACGAAAGUCUGACGGAGCAACGCCGCGUGAGUGAAGACGGCCUUCGGGUUGUAAAGCUCUGUGAUUCGGGACGAAAGGCCAUAUGUGAAUAAUAUAUGGAAAUGACGGUACCGAAAAAGCAAGCCACGGCUAACUACGUGCCAGCAGCCGCGGUAAUACGUAGGUGGCAAGCGUUGUCCGGAAUUAUUGGGCGUAAAGCGCGCGCAGGCGGUCUCUUAAGUCUAUCUUAGAAGUGCGGGGCUUAACCCCGUGAGGGGAUGGAAACUGGGAGACUGGAGUAUCGGAGAGGAAAGUGGAAUUCCUAGUGUAGCGGUGAAAUGCGUAGAUAUUAGGAAGAACACCGGUGGCGAAGGCGACUUUCUGGACGAAAACUG
rnacentral:rRNA from 1 species